AAAAAAUGGAUUACAAAAUACGUUUAUUUGGCACUGGCGACACUCCAAUGAAACUCAUUUUCUACUACUACUGAUAUUUGCAAAUGUAAUUUUAAAAUGAUUUGGAUUAAUUUAGAUACUAUUGACUUGAUCGAACAUGGAUAAACAAUGAUAAAUAUUGAAAAAAACUUAUAUGAUAACCACCGUUCCAUCGUCCGUGGUAUUUAAUUAUUUACAUGCCUGUUGCAGACAACUUACUCAUCCCAUAAACAUAUUGGCAUUUUCGCUAUACCUACAUAUGUACAGAAAUUUCUCUUCUUGAUGUAAAUCUUCCAACCCAGAUAAGAAUGCAUUUGCCAUCAAUUCUUUUAAUGCUUCGAUAUGUAUCGCUUUUGUUGCCAAGGAAAAAAAUGCAAUAUGGCCGGCGUAUUUUUCAAUUUUCCCGUUGCUGGUGGGUACCUUGAUUCUACCAGCAUAGGCCACUCCGAUGUGUGUGACAACGAUCCGCGCUUAGAUCGAAACAAGGAGUACCAGGAGUAAACAGAGUAGGUACACAUCAUAAACGGAGUACACAUCAACAAGUUUAGAAAUGUCUCGAGUAGUGAUUGACUAUUCGGCAAUAUUUAUA